GAAAACUCAUAAGAUUGAUCAGAACAAGGAUGUGUCGUUGUCGGUGGCGGUAGUGGCUCAGUGCAUAGCUCGGACGCAUCAAUACUUGCCUAUCCAUUGGUUGCCAUCGACGAAAUUCCACGACAAGAAUGGUCGCGCCUGCGCGUCGGUAAGCUCCUUGGACCAGUUCACUCGUCCCUUGGUGUCAGCUCCGACGCCUGUGCACUUGUAUUGCCCGUAAUACACCGUCCUGAAGCAUCGACAGUUUGUAACUUAAGUUUGUUGGAUCGGCAUCCUCUCAAGUCUAGAAAAGUAUGAUACUAGCAAGAUUGGAAAGCUGUAGGGGUAACUCGGAAGUGUGUGUGUUUUUUAGGUGGUGAUGGACAAUCUGGAGAUGGUGGUGAAGUAAGAGAGGGAGUGGAGAUCUUACUUUUCUCUAGCAGGAUCGCCCCAGUUGUACCACCCUGCGGGAAUAAUGGGGGCGGAGAUGUCGGUGUACAGGAGCACGACCCUGGAGUAAGGACCCCAAGCGCGGCCAAUGUAGAUAGGCCCGUUCCCGGUGACGUUGCAACGAACGAAGGAAAACCCGCUAGUCUCCGCUUUCGUCAUCUUCUUCUGGGCGGUCAAGGACCCGCUGCCAGGGUUGGCAAUCGAGUGCAAAUGACAUGUCUGCAUUGGGAUUCAAUCGGUGAGUUUGGAAUUCACUGGAGUUGUUCCUGUUUUCCUGAUGUCCUACUCAGUUGAGCGUUUCGCGGAGUGACUGAAGAGUUGCGAGAGAAUGUAGUUGGCAGGUUUUUACCUCAUAAUACGACUGACCGUUGCCGAAGACGAAGUCGAUGGAGCCCUGGAUGUAGCAAUCUUUGAAGUAAUG
rnacentral:lncRNA from 1 species